CUCUGGUUACCUGUGUACCGUGACUGACCAAAAAGAACAAGGGGUUGGGGGCAAACCUGUUGAAGAACCCCCCACCCACUCAAAUCCUUUGUUGGGACUCAAUCACCAGUGCAUUGAGCAUGAUAUGCAUGACAGCGUCAUACACACCACCAUCAUAAUGCAUACCAUCUGCUGUGCACUGCUGCCCGCACCCCUGGGUGAGCUUCCCCACAUCAAGCAGCAGGAACGGGCCACCAUCACGGCGCAAAACACCCCUCCGAUCGACCUCACGAUCAUAGGCAUGAAGCAUGGUGCCGUUCAUGUGUGCCCUCUUGGCGUCUGUGUUGAGCAUGUGGUUCAAGAGGUGCGGCAAGCCAAGCCAGAACAUAUGUGGUGGCGGCACGGGAAGCUGCGAGCGGAGCGACUCUGCGGCGCCCGCGACGGACGCCAGUGCAUCGCCGUAGCUCGCGGCGUCCGUGACGUGGAGCAUGUGCCACAGCCCGGAUCCGAGGACGAGCACGUCGGGGAGACGCGGCGCGAGGCGCAGAUCCUCGCGGAGCAGACGCGUGAGGUUGCUCUCAAAGGGCGCCCAGACGAAGUCCACGGAAAUGCCCCGCGCAGGGACGGCAGCGUGGUAGUCGCUGUGCCGGCGGAAGAGCUCCGGCUCGGCGGCCGCCGCCGCGGCCGGGUCGAGCAGGAGGCGGAGAAGCGCGAGGACGAGCAGUCGCGCCUGCGAAUCCCCGGCCACCAUCACCCACGAGCCGUUAAGCAGCAGCGACGCGUCAUCGCGCGACAGCCGCGCGAACCCGCAGGCGGACGCCAGCGAGGGCGGCCACGACCACGCCCGUGCCUUUCCGCCUCCCGAGCCGUCGUCCGCGGCGCCGGCGGCGUCAGACCACGACACACGGUGCAGAAACGGGACGCAGGAAGACCCAGAGGAGGAGGACGCGGACGCGGAC
rnacentral:misc_RNA from 1 species